GCCCCCAUAGCUCAGGGGAUAGAGCACUGCCCUCCGGAGGCAGGGGCGACAGUUCGAAUCUGUCUGGGGGCA
rnacentral:tRNA from 1 species